CUGAAUUUGGCCUCAGCUCCAGCCCGGGUGAAGGGAGGGCCCCGCGUCUUGGCGCCUCGGGCCCUCGCUGGACGGCCUGGAACCCCAGCUCGCGGCCGCUGCCUCCCCGGGGCGAGCAUCCCAGGUUCUCCUCUCGGGGGCGCUGUGUGUGUGCGUAUGUGGGCAUGUGUAGGCGGCCGCAGGACUCGGCGUCUCCCCCGCUCGCCUCUCCGACUGUGGGGCCUGGCCCCUGGCGCCCCCCUGCAGGGCCUUCUCCUGCAGAGGCCUGCACCGGCCGGGCUGCCAGCUUCCUCCUUUCUCCCAGCUCCACGUCCUCUCCAUCCCCACCCUAGGCCCAGUGUUGCUCCCUCACUGCCCCAGGUCCUCCUAGGCCCCAUCCUUUGCCCUCCUAGAUAAGGCGAGUCCACCCCUUUAUCUCCUCAAUGUUAAUCUUCUGGUGGUGGUACCUUCGGGGAGCCGGGAGAGGGCAGGAGGGAGUGCAUGACCCAAAGUGGACGCAAAGAAAAUGGGGUAAGUCAAGUCAACAGAUAAUUACUCUUUUCGACACUCUGCAAAGCAUGGCAGUUGAUGACCCUGUUGAGGGAGCAGAGUGAACUGGAUGAUUUUGGUUCUUACCCAACACCGGUGGACAGUUAUUCUCUGUUUGAUGUAGUUGGGUUUCUGAAACCUCAGUUAGGAGCACUAGUCCGGAAGAAUCUGGAUGAGGGGCAAGAGUGCCAACACCUCUUUUUUCCCAUAUUCCAAAGUGGUCUUUCAGUGAGAAUAUGGGAAGGAGGUGAACAGGCCUGGUGAUAAGUCAUGAUAGACAAUUCUAGCAUUUAUUGAGGACUUCCUAGGUCAGAACUAUACCAGAUGCUGUAGACUCAUCUCAUUUUCUUAAUUCUAAAAUGCCGUAGAUUAUAAGACACACCAUCUAUUUAAAGAUGGCCUUUGGGAGAAAAGGAAAACACUAUGACUGUAAAUGUACAAUCAAUUGUGAGACAUAUUAAUUUCAGGAAUAUUAAUAAAAUAUGGAAAAAAGUGAAUCUUAGAAGUAAGGAAACGAAGUGUAUUCCAUGUAGUUCUCUCAACAGUCCUGGGAGGAAUUAUCCCUACUUGGUGCCUGUAUGGAUGUAAACUGAGGCUAGGAAAGGUUUCAGCACUUGCUCAAGGCCACAAAGCCAGUGAAUAGCAGUUAGAAUCGGAACCCAGGUUUGUGUGCAGCCAGAGCCAUGACGGUUUCUCCUAGGGCACGAAGCCUCUGCAGGGUUUGGGCUUUGUCAACAUUUUUGUAGCCCAGGUUCUGUCUUGACCCUUUUACCAUCAACACCUCUUCCCUCACCCCCCAACCUGUAGAGAUUUCCAGGAGGAGAAAGUAAUUCAUUGGGGAGAAAAGGUAGAAAAUUACAUUUUUCAGAUUCAAAUGAAGUCUUUAAAGGGUAAAAACCAUGCAUGCCAGGUUUUGCUGUGCACUGCAGGAAGUCGAUGAAUUCAAGGGUCCCUGGAUUGCUGAAAAUAGAAUUGUAAAAAAUAAAAGGGGUGGGGGGAGAAAGUGAACGAAACUAAUCCUAUUAAACGUGGUAGCAUGUUUUUGUGGCACGCAGGCAGAGAUUAAGCACAGGAAAGGGGAUAAGCAUUGCUUCAGUUUCACUAAACUAAUGUGACAACUUGUCAUUGGAAAUCUUUGCAGCUUGUUAGUAGAUGACUAGCUGAUUCAGAAGUGUUUUCUAUCACUCCCUUUGUGUGUCCCAUGAGUUUUUUUUUUUUUUUUUAAUUUUCUUUCUUUUCCUGUUUCAUUCUUACCCAUGCUGGUCUAUUUCGCUUUUUAAUCCUUCGUGUCUCCUUCAAGUCAAAACAUUUAGCUGGCUCUAAUCAAGAUUUGGUUUUGAAGAUGCCCCUUGACCUUGCAUUGCCUGGAGAAGCCCGGGCAGCGACUGCUUUCCGUCUUCAACCCGCCGAUCAUGACAUCCUUUGCUGGAAGGGCGAGCAAGCAGAUUACUUCCAAACUGGUGACAGAAGAGCUCCUUGGCACUGGAACCCUCCUGGUCUGGUGAGGGAGGAAUGAGGAUACACAGGCGCCAUCCAAAACUUCCUAUGUUCAGAUUGAGGAAAGAGGUGGGCCAGGCCUUUGGAUUCUCAUUACCUAAGGACGGUUCUGACUGUGAGAGCAAAUCACAGAAGGACAACCUUGAUGUCACCUGUAUAUAGAAGAUGUAGAGCCAUUAUCUGGAAAGAAUCUGGAUUCCUGAUUCACUGCUUGGAGGAGAGCAGCCUGGGACAGCUGCCCAACCAGGAAUAGUCACAUUACACUUUUUGUGUAACAUAUAAGAAAUAAACUUUCA
rnacentral:lncRNA from 1 species